UAGCUUGCUACCUAACCUAGCGGCGGACGGGUGAGUAAUGCUUAGGAAUCUGCCUAUUAGUGGGGGACAACAUUCCGAAAGGAAUGCUAAUACCGCAUACGCCCUACGGGGGAAAGCAGGGGAUCUUCGGACCUUGCGCUAAUAGAUGAGCCUAAGUCAGAUUAGCUAGUUGGUGGGGUAAAGGCCUACCAAGGCGACGAUCUGUAGCGGGUCUGAGAGGAUGAUCCGCCACACUGGGACUGAGACACGGCCCAGACUCCUACGGGAGGCAGCAGUGGGGAAUAUUGGACAAUGGGCGAAAGCCUGAUCCAGCCAUGCCGCGUGUGUGAAGAAGGCCUUUUGGUUGUAAAGCACUUUAAGCGAGGAGGAGGCUACUUAGAUUAAUACUCUAGGAUAGUGGACGUUACUCGCAGAAUAAGCACCGGCUAACUCUGUGCCAGCAGCCGCGGUAAUACAGAGGGUGCGAGCGUUAAUCGGAUUUACUGGGCGUAAAGCGUGCGUAGGCGGCUUCUUAAGUCGGAUGUGAAAUCCCUGAGCUUAACUUAGGAAUUGCAUUCGAUACUGGGAAGCUAGAGUAUGGGAGAGGAUGGUAGAAUUCCAGGUGUAGCGGUGAAAUGCGUAGAGAUCUGGAGGAAUACCGAUGGCGAAGGCAGCCAUCUGGCCUAAUACUGACGCUGAGGUACGAAAGCAUGGGGAGCAAACAGGAUUAGAUACCCUGGUAGUCCAUGCCGUAAACGAUGUCUACUAGCCGUUGGGGCCUUUGAGGCUUUAGUGGCGCAGCUAACGCGAUAAGUAGACCGCCUGGGGGAGUACGGUCGCAAGACUAAAACUCAAAUGAAUUGACGGGGGGCCCGCACAAGCGGUGGAGCAUGUGGUUUAAUUCGAUGCAACGCGA
rnacentral:rRNA from 1 species